rnacentral:rRNA from 1 species
AGCGAACGCUGGCGGCAUGCUUAACACAUGCAAGUCGCGCGGGUGGUUUCGGCCAUCAGCGGCGGACGGGUGGGUAUCGCGUAGGAAUGUAUCCCGAGGUGGGGGACAACCCUGGGAAACUGGGGCUAAUACCGCAUGUGGCCUGUGGGUCAAAGCCUUAGGGCGCCUUGGGAGCAGCCUGCGUCCGAUUUGGUAGUUGGGGGGGUAAAGGCCUACCAAGCCUGCGAUAGGUAGCUGGUCUGAGAGAAAGAUCAGACACACUGGGACUGGGACGCGGCCCGGAAUCCUACGCGAGGGAGGAGAGGGGGAUACUGCACAAUCGGCGCAAGCAUGAUCCAGCAAUGCCGCGUGGGUGAAGAAGGUCUUCGGAUUGUAAAGCCCUUUCGGCGGGGACGAUGAUGACGGUACCCGCAGAAGAAGCCCCGGCUAACUUCGUG